rnacentral:rRNA from 1 species
GUGGGGAAUCUUGCGCAAUGGGCGAAAGCCUGACGCAGCCAUGCCGCGUGAGUGACGAAGGCCUUCGGGUUGUAAAGCUCUGUCCAGGGGGACGAACGGUCUUGGAGAUAACAUCUCUGGGGAGUGACGGUACCCCUGAAGAAAGCACCGGCUAACUCCGUGCCAGCAGCCGCGGCAAUACGGAGGGUGCGAGCGUUGUUCGGAAUCACUGGGCGUAAAGCGCGUGUAGGCGGUGUUGCAAGUCGGGUGUGAAAUCCCUGGGCUCAACCGAGGAAUUGCGCUCGAAACUGCAGCACUGGAGUACGGGAGAGGGACGUGGAAUUCCUGGUGUAGAGGUGAAAUUCGUAGAGAUCAGGAGGAACACCUGCGGCGAAGGCGACGUCCUGGACCGAUACUGACGCUGAGACGCGAAAGCGUGGGGAGCAAACAGGAUUAGAAACCCUUGUAGUCC